rnacentral:lncRNA from 1 species
UUGUGAAUACUACUAUAUAGACAAGCUUACUGAGCAAGAAAGUGGAAACAGAGCCUAAUAUAUGUAAAAACUACCGCUGUUUAACAGAAACGAAAUAUUUCACGAUGUCAUCGAUGGAGAAAGAAUGAAAACUUGAUGGUUCAUCUUUGCCAGUAAAUAUUUCUUUUAUAUUUCAACUUUUCAAUAAAAUCAUUUUAUCACUAGAAUGGUGAUAAAAUUAUUGUUCCCUAUUUUUGUUU